GACAUUUCUCCACUCUCAUUGUUACUUAUAGGUUUCUCAGGCAGCUGCAGACUUGAAACAGUUCUGUCUGCAGAAUGCCCAACAUGACCCUCUGCUGACCGGAGUGUCUUCAAGUACAAAUCCCUUCAGACCCCAGAAAGUCUGCUCCUUUUUGUAAUCAUGUAUCUUAAGGUUUCUCAAACCACUUUUCAUGAACCAGCGACUGUUGAAGAGAAUUACAUCUGAAGUCUGUACAAAAGCCUGUAACACGUGCCAUAACACACACUCUCCUUCUUGUCAGUUCUUAACAUCUACCUCUCUGAAUCUUCAUGGAUUUCUGUCUCACAAGGUUGAACUAUUUUAUAUACACUGGCUGUAGCAUACAAUAAAACAGCAUACAAAUUUCUGGCCCUGUUAUUGUUAUGAAAUGUGCUGUAUAUUAAAUCUUUUCAAAACCAACUCUUAAGAUUUCAAUACUUUAUAUUGGCAAGGCUUCUGGAAGACUUAGUUUCUUUCAGUUUAGUUGCAGGAAUUACUUGAAAUAUUCCAAAUAUGGGUGGAGAGAUGGCUCAGUGGUCAGAGUACUUGCUGUGUGAUUAUGAUAGGAGUGCAGACCCCUGCCACCUACACACGAAGCUGUGCAUGGCCAUGCAUGCCUGUGAUCCUCGCACUUGGGGGAGAGGGUUUGUUGGCCACCAGCAUGGGUUAAAAUGGUAAGCUCUGGUGGUAGUGUAACAUGCACUUGAAAGGCAGAGGUGGGUGGAUCCCUGUGUACUGCAGGCCAGCCUGGUCUAUGGAAUGAGUUCCAAGACAGCCAGAGCUACACAGAGGAACCCUGUCUCAAAAAAACCAACACCACCUGAAUGAGGUAACUGGGUAAAAAAAAAGAGAAGGAAAUGGGAACUGAAAGUUUAGCUCCCGUGACCUGUAACUGUGCAAAGUCCUGCGCAUCUAGCCUUCGGGACCUGUAUUAAAUCAGGGUUACACACUAACUACCAACAAUACUUUUUCUGGCCUACAAGUUCAUUUGCGAAUGCAAAUUAGAAAGUUUGAAUUCCAACAAAAUCAUUCACAACUAAUUUGAUAUGACUGUAAGUUUUAGGACUUUAGACCCUCACCAAAAUUACAUUUAUAUUUACUACAACAGAGUAGAAAUUCAUGACACUUAGUCAUUUGUUCAAAUAUAAGAUUUAUAAAAUCAAUAGAUUCCAUUUGAAAGAUGUUUUGUAAAUAAUUUACCAAGUUUUUCCAGACAGGCCUGUCCAGCAAAAUUCAAUACCUCCCUCAGUACUUUAUAAAUGGAAUUUUCUUCUACUUGUAUCCAUUUCCCGUGGCUGAAAAUUAAAGGGGAGAAAGACAAAGAACAACUUAGCAUCAUUCUCAAGAGGGCAAACUGGGCUUUCAAAGUGAAAGUAUACAACAACAAAAAUCUAUCCAAUGACCACUACUCAAGAAGGAAAAAAGACGGAUUCAAUGCUACUCUAUGCUAACAACAAAUACUGAGUUCUGCAAUUUAAAGACUCACUCCAGGUUCAGUGUCAUGAAGAAGAGCCAAGUACUUUCUCACUGCCUGGACAUUCAGAGACCAUGAGAGAGAUACCUUGGGGUCAGGUGACACAUGUGUCAAUGUGAGACUCACAGAAGUUUCCCGUUCCUAGCAUCACACCACGACCAGCCACACAACAUGGCUUCACUCCUUCCUCCCAAGAAUGACAUGCUUCCUGACGACCCAAGAUGAAGCUACGCCAAAAUCUACCGUGUCCACUGGGCCAGUGCUUUCAUGCUGCCUCCUUUCCCACUGACCACUCCUCCCUCUGCCUCACGCGUCACACCUGGCUCAAGUGUCCCUGUGAAGCCCUCCUCCUGUCAUGUGGCUGCAACAGUGUCAUUAGUUAACGCCGGUUUGCCUGGACUCACUACAGCAGGCUGGCUCUUGUUAGAUCCUUCACCAAGGUUACAGCAGUGCUUCAGCUGUGACACUUGCCUGAUAAAUGUUUUCAUGAAUAAAAAUGUUACAGCAUCUUGGAUAGAGUUGCAAUGCUACGGAAAAAUGUCCAUUGUAAA